rnacentral:lncRNA from 1 species
CAUCACCACCUUCACCAUACUACUACAAGUCUCCACCACCACCGCUUAAGUCACCUCCUCCCCCAUACUAUUACAGCUCUCCACCACCACCAGUGAAGUCUCCCCCUCCACCAUACUACUACUCCUCGCCACAACCACCAAAGAAAUCACCUCCCCCAUCAUAUCACUAUACUUCUCCACCACCACCUGUUAAGUCACCACCUCCUCCAUACUAUUACAGCUCCCCACCACCACCAAAGAAAUCACCUCCCCCAUCAUAUCACUAUACUUCUCCACCACCACCUGUUAAGUCACCACCUCCUCCAUACUAUUACAGCUCCCCAUCACCACCAAAGAAAUCACCUCCUCCGCCAUAUUACUACAGUUCCCCACCACCACCAGUGAAGUCACCUCCAACUCCAUACUACUACAAGUCUCCUCCACCACCACCAAAGAAAUCUUCUCCCCCACCAUACUACUACAAUUCACCACCACCACCAACUCAUUACUAUCCUCCACAUCAUCAAUUCGUGGUCAAAGUUGUCGGAAAAGUAUAUUGUUUUAGAUGUUACGACUGGAAGCACCCAGAGAUGUCUCACAGCAAGAAACACCUGAAAGGUAUCACAAUAUAAUUUAUACAACACUCGCAUUCCUUAUUUUCCUUUAAUAUAUCAUCAAAAAUAUAUUUAACUAUAUAUUUUCUUUUUUGUUGCUUUCUUCCUUACGCUCUUAAAAGAAUUCAUAAAUGUGUAUCUUUAUUUGGAUCUUUGAUCCAUUUCUGUUUUUCCAAAUGUGAAGUAACAUUAAAAUUUAAAGAGUCAAGAAAUUUUAUAAGGCAAGGACUAUAUCUAUAAUUGUGACUACAGAGUAAAACAUAUUGAAAAUGAAGGUACUCCGUUCUUUCUUGCAAAUGAAGAAUUAAUAUUGAGUGUGAUUCAUUCUCACAUUGGCUGACAAAAGUCUGUACACAUUGGCACACAAGUUGCCAUUAACAUGCAGUUUGUUUCCCUUAUUAGAUUACAAAAUAUUCUUUAUCGUGUGAUGAGAAGGUUUGUUUUAUUUCAUAUUAUGAGGUAAAAAGUGCUCGGAUCUAAAUGAUCAUCAUUAGUAUUGGAGUUAAUUAACGUUAAUUGUUACAUGAAUUAGGUGCUGUUGUUGAAGUCACUUGCAAGGCUGGUGACAAGAAAAUUGUGAGUUAUGGUACCACAAAGAUCAAUGGCAAAUUUAUCAUCACGGUUGAAGGAUUUGAAUAUCGCAAAUAUGGAGCAAAGGCUUGCAAGGCUAAACUCCACAAUGCUCCAAAGGAUUCAAAGUGUAGCAUUCCUACAAAUCUUCAUUGGGGAAUUAAGGGUGCUAACCUCAAAGUGAAAUCAAAGAAUAGUUAUGAAGUUGUACUUUAUGCAAAACCAUUUGCUUAUGGAUCUAAGACACCUUACGCAGAAUGCCAAAAGCCCAAGCCUACACCUGCUCCAUACUAUUAUAAAUCUCCUCCACCUCCAUCACCGACUUAUGUGUACAAGUCACCACCUCCUCCAUCACCAAAGUAUGUGUACAAGUCACCACCUCCCCCAACCCCGACAUAUGUUUAUAAGUCUCCACCACCACCUGCUUACUAUUACAAAUCACCGCCGCCACCAACUAAGUCUCCACCACCUCAUUAUUAUUACAAGUCUCCACCUCCACCAUCACCAAAACCUGCACCAGUAUACUAUUAUAAAUCACCACCACCCCCAUCACCGUCGCCACCCCCACCUUACUACUACAAGUCCCCGCCACCCCCAUCACCAAAACCUGCACCUGUUUACUAUUAUAAAUCACCACCACCCCCAUCACCGUCACCACCCCCACCUUACUACUACAAGUCCCCGCCACCCGCAUCACCAAAACCUGCACCUGUUUACUAUUAUAAAUCACCACCACCCCCAUCACCGUCACCACCCCCACCUUACUACUACAAGUCCCCACCACCACCAUCACCUUCUCCCCCACCUCCCUACUACUAUAAGUCUCCUCCACCACCAUCGCCAUCUCCUCCUCCACCAUACUAUUAUAAGUCCCCUCCUCCACCAACUCCAUCUCCACCCCCACCCUACUACUAUAAAUCUCCUCCACCACCAUCACCAUCUCCUCCACCUCCAUACUACUACAAGUCCCCUCCUCCUCCAUCGCCAUCUCCCCCUCCACCAUACUAUUACAAGUCACCACCGCCACCAUCGUCAUCACCUCCACCACCCUACUACUACAAGUCUCCUCCUCCUCCAUCACCUUCUCCCCCUUCACCAUACUACUACAAGUCACCACCACCUCCAUCGCCAUCUCCACCACCACCCUACUAUUACAAGUCCCCUCCUCCACCAUCCCCAUCACCACCUCCACCCUACUACUACAAGUCGCCUCCUCCACCGUCACCUUCUCCACCACCUCCCUACUACUAUCACUCUCCACCUCCACCAGUAAAGUCUCCUCCUCCUUAUUACUACACCUCACCACCUCCACCAGUGAAAUCACCUCCUCCACCCGUAUAUAUUUACGCUUCCCCACCUCCUCCAAUCCACUACUAAGAGUUUCCAGCAGUUCAGCCAUUCUCCGCACUCAAUCAAGUGAGUAGUUGUUUAAAUUGUAAUUUUUUUCAUAUGAGAUCAAUUUUUUUUCAUUACGACUCUAAUCUUCUAUUUGAUUGUUUCUUUUCAGAUUUUAGUUGGAAACACAAAAUAAAUGAUGGCUUCUUGAGGAAAAGAUUCAAACAUCAAUGGAACAAAGCAAUUAAUUUAUGGAAUAAGACAUUCAAUUUUUCAAUUGAAGGAUUGAUUCUAAGUUACAUGGACCAGUUUGGUUCUACUUCUCUUUUAGCCUUCUUGCACAUUGUUCUCUUAGUGCGUUCACACAUGAACGUGUCUAAGCUUUGAUGCUUCUUAGAGUUCAUUUCUUCGUAAUUUAUUGUUUUAUAUUGAGGACACUGUCCUCAUUUUAUUCAUUCCUAUUAAUUAUUGUAUGUUGUUCUUUUGUAAUACCUUCAUGUACUUUGUGCACAAAUCAAUAAAAAGAUCAAUUUCAUUACAUGCACUUUCAUUUCUUUCUUCUACAUCUUUCCCCUCUUCACAAAUGUUACAAACAAAUUAAAUUAUCUUCUCCAAAUAUAUCUAAGCAAAUUGAAGAUUUUCACCAUGCUUGUGAUCAGUUGGUACAAGAGUAUCACACUUAGGUUUCGAAUAUGUUGAGCAUGUCACAUAGCGCAUUUGGUAAUAGUUGGUACAAGAUUCAGAUAAUGCCCAUAGUAACGCACAUUUGCAUUUACCAGUAAUAAACUCUAUCAACAUCAGCGUUGUUUUAUACCAGCUAGCUUGAGUCCGCGUCAGAGAAUAUACAUAUCCUGUCUACUCUACAGAUCAACAGGAAAGGAAAGUAAAACAGGGAAAUAGAUAUUAAUUAAUUUGGCUAAAUAAGUCAAAGUUGCUGCAAUUAUUUGUAAAUGUAGGACACCACAUAAUUUAAUAUCAUAGAAUAUAUGCACUAGCCUUUUUCUAGAAAUUUCCAUGUCUUACGAGUUUUGUAAGGUGAUACAGAGAUAUGCUUAUCAGCCCACACCCUGGCAAUUGAAAACAAAAUGGUAAGAGAGUGGAAGUAUUAAAAAAUAGCACUUUCUUUCCUUUAAGCCAUUACAUGGCAUGUGUUUUUGUGUGCUUCAUAUGGUGUGUUCCCAUAUACAGCAAGUAACAAACUACUUAUUGAAAAGAAAAUGUAGAAAUAUACAAAGUGAUACAGAGAUGGACUUUAAUAAAUAAGAUGACAACUUGUAGAUCCAGCUGGUAAGAACUAUUAAUAUUCUUUUUGCACUUUGAUUAUCAAUUAGAGCAAUUGAAUUGGUCCUUUAGACAGCUCUUUACUAACAACUACUUCUAAAGGUGUGUUACUAUAAAUGCAUAGGCCAAUGAAUCCCCAAACCUGCCAAGGGUCGUCGACAUUUGCCACAAAUCUUAGUGGCAUUGGCCAUAUUGGCUGUUGCUAAUGUAGUGUCAGCAGACCCUUAUGUGUACUCUUCUCCACCACCUCCAACGUAUGAGUACAAGUCACCACCACCUCCUUCGCCUUCUCCACCGCCACCUUAUGUGUACAAAUCUCCACCUCUUCCAUCACCUUCUGCCCCACCACCAUAUGUGUAUAAGUCUCCACCUCCUCCGUCACCAUCUCCACCACCACCCUAUGUGUAUAAGUCUCCGCCACCUCCAUCGCCAUCUCCACCACCACCAUAUGUGUAUAAGUCUCCCCCACCUCCAUCGCCAUCUCCACCACCACCAUAUGUUUAUAAGUCACCACUUCCUCCUUCUCCAUCACCACCUCCACCAUAUGUGUAUAAGUCUCCACCGCCUCCAUCGCCAUCUCCACCACCACCGUAUGUGUAUAAGUCUCCACCUCCUCCGUCACCGUCUCCACCACCACCCUAUGUAUAUAAGUCUCCCCCACCACCAUCACCAUCUCCACCUCCACCAUAUUACUACAAGUCCCUUCCUCCACCAUCACCUUCACCACCACCUCCAUAUUACUACAAGUCACCACCUCCAAUGGAUGUUCUAACCAAUUUUCGCACACCUCGACUAAUUCCACCGGAUACCAGUUAGCUUUCACUAGCAACAUGUAUCAAAUAAUUUUGUCCAUCGAGACUAGAACAAAUGGCAAGAAUCACCUAGUGCUUUUUGUCUCUAAUGAAAUUUGAACCUAAGAUCUCAUGAUUUUGAAUCCACCAAGGCUUCUACAUAAUUUAAUAGUACAAAAAAUUGAUAGACAAAAACGACAUACCUAGUGAGCUCCAACAAGUAAGGUCUGAAGAGGGUAAAGUAUACGCAAACCUUACCAGUAGCUUGAGGAGGUAGAGAGAUUGUUUUCGAAAGACCCUCGACUUAAGUGUAGCAAAUUAAUGUUUAAAAUUUCUAAGUGGGCAAUAAGUAAUUUCUUAAGCCAUCACCAGAGAUGAGAAAACAAAUUUUCGUGUAGCUUUGCAAAAAAAAGAAAAAAAAAAUUACUUUGGCUUGAUAAAGGUAAAGGAAAAAAAAAAACACAAAAUUAGUCACUAUAUAGAAAAUUAGCAUUGUUUAAUUUCCUUUUUGGUAAUCCAAUUAUGAAAACAAAUUGUGAAAUCUUCCUAGGGUUCGACACUGAGCAUGGAGAAAACUCUGUUGGGAGCGCUACCCUCCGAAUGGGGUCCUACCCGGCGCGAAUCCGGAUUAGUCGGGCUCCAAUGCGAGUACCGGACACUGGAUGAAAAACCAAAAAAAAAAAAAGUGAAAUCUUAGUGAUUUUUUCUAUCUAAUGAAUCAAAAUCUGCUUUAAAGUCAUCUAUCUUAUACGUAUCUCCGAGUAUAUGAGUGUGUUCUUACUACGAAAAAGAAAUAAUAAAAUAUAUGAUUCUCGAAACUCUCACUCAUUCUCUCCUUUCUUUUGUCUAAACAAUUUCAUUGACUAUAUGUGGAACAACUCGACAUAAAUUCGACAUAAUCGACACCUCAGAAUUUGAUCACCUCAACUCCAUUAUAUUUGAAUCCAAUAACAUUUCAAACCUAUAAACUUCAAAUUCCGAAUCUGUUUGUUUCCAAAGUCAACCACACUACUAACAUAGGCCUGCUAAGAAAAAUAGAAAUAACAAAGAAACAGACAAGAAGACCAAAUAAUUCUAUGAUCUCAAUGUUCAUAAGAUGCUUCCAUGUGGCAACAGAAUAACAAAAAAACUAUGUCAAUAGAGUAAGUGGAAAUAUUCAAAACCCAUCGUCAGGCCCCUUAAAUACGCGUCAUCUUUCAAUUAGGCACCUCAAGUGAACAUUGGUUCAUUUUGGCAUCUCAAGCGGCCUUCAAGUGUGUCACUUCAACACGUUUUGCUGAAUCAGCAAAAUAAUAUUAGUGCGUGAGCUACACUCUCCGCUGAGCUGGAAAGUGACGAAUAAAAUGCGGACACGUGUUAUUUUUGUCCAAAUAAUUUAUAAAUAAUAAAUUUUAAAUAAAAAAUACCCAAAUAAUUUAUAAAUAAUUAAUUUAAAUAAAAAAUACCCCCUCCCCCUAACCUACCCACCCCACCAACCUUCUUCUUCAAACACCCCAUCCACCCCACCAAAUUUUUUUCAUCGAUCUUGCUUCGAUUUUUAAUUUUUCUUCACUGAUUUUACUUGAUUUUUAGAUUUUCUUCAUGAAUUUAACUUCAUUUUUUUCAGAUUUGCUUCAUCUAUUUUGCUUCAAUUUUUAGUUUUUUUAAUUGAUUUUGUUUGAUUUUAAUUUUUCUUCACGGAUUUAGCUUUAUUUUUUAAUUUCUUUCAUCAAUUUUGCUCCGAUUUUCAAAUUUUCUUCACUGAUUUUUCUUGGUUUUUAUGCUUCAAUUUUGAUUUUUUUUUAUUGAUUUUGUUUGAUUUCAAUUUUUCUUCACUGAUUUGGCUUUAUUUUUCUAUUUUUCUUCAUCGAUUUUGUUUGAUUUUUAGUUUUUCUUCAUUGAUGUUGCUUAUUUUUUAUUUUUAUUCAUCAAUUUUGCCCUUAAUGAUAAAAAAAAAGGUGCUUAUCAUUUAAUCAUCACAAACCUUUAAAUGCGUAGAUAAAUUUCUCUCAAUAAUUCUUACCGUUAAAUAAAUUAAGAUUGACAAAAAUAACGGAUAAAAAUGCGAAAGAAUUAUAAAUUAAUGGGCAUUGAGUUAAUAUAUUGUUUUUGGCAAGACGAACUCCUAAAUAUGUAUCUAAUUUUUAAAUCUCUCUCAAUAAUUUCUACCAUUAAAUAAGCUUAAGAUUGACAAAAAAGAUGGAUAAAAAUAAGGAAAAAGGUAUAAAUUAAUUAAAAUGAGUUAAUAUAUUGUUGGUGGGCCAAUUUGGGCGCCACAACAGCCAAAAACAGGCUUUCAUGCGCCUUUUCGGAGUGUUCCGCACGAGUUUUGCCAACCAGGCAAAAGGUGCCAAAAUGGCACACUUUAAGGCCACUUGAAGUGCCAAAAUGAACCAAUGUCCACUUGAGGUGCCUAAAUGAAAGAUCGCGUGUACUUGAGAUGCCUGGCGAUGAGUUUUCCCUAAAAAUUAUCAAUCAAUGUCUAUGCACAUUCAUAUGUUGUAUCUCAUUUUCUAUGUAGUAGGUAACAAACUACUAGUUGUUAUAAAGAUAAAAGUUGGAAAACUGGAAAUAUUCAAAGUGAUACAAAGAUGGACUUUUAAUAAACAAGAUGUAAAACUUGUAGAUCCAGCUGUUAAGAGUAGUUUAAUAUACUUUUUACACAUUGAUUGUUAAUUAGAGCUAUUGAAUUGGUCAUUUAGACAGCUCUUUACUAACAACUAGUGUGUUAAUAUAAAUAGAUAGGCCAAUGAACCCUCUAAAGGCAUCAGUUCUCAACUGAAAAACUAAACUUGUCUUCUUUUUUCUUCCCUUAACUAGCCACAUUUGGGAGGCUAGGUGGUGUAUUUUCCGGCAAAAUGAGGCUUCACGGUGGCGGCCCUGCCAAGGGUCGUCGAUAUUUGCCACAAAUUUUAGUGGCGUUGGCCAUAUUGGCUGUUGCUAAUGUAGUGUCAGCAGACCCUUAUGUGUACUCUUCUCCACCACCUCCAACGUAUGAGUACAAGUCACCACCACCUCCUUCGCCAUCUCCACCGCCACCUUAUGUGUACAAAUCUCCACCUCCUCCAUCACCUUCUCCCCCACCACCAUAUGUGUAUAAGUCUCCACCUCCUCCGUCACCAUCUCCACCACCACCCUAUGUGUAUAAGUCUCCGCCACCUCCAUCGCCAUCUCCACCACCACCAUAUGUGUAUAAGUCUCCAUCACCUCCAUCGCCAUCUCCACCACCACCAUAUGUGUAUAAGUCUCCCCCACCUCCAUCGCCAUCUCCACCUCCACCAUAUUACUACAAGUCUCCUCCCCCACCAUCACCUUCACCACCACCUCCAUAUUACUACAAGUCGCCACCUCCAUCUUCACCAUCACCUCCACCACCAUACUAUUACAAAUCUCCACCACCGCCCUCACCAUCACCACCCCCGCCAUACAAUUAUAAGUUUCCACCACCACCUUCUCCUUCACCUCCUCCACCAUACUACUACUCCUCGCCGCCGCCGCCGCCACCAAAGAAAUCACCUCCCCCACCAUAUCACUAUACUUCUCCACCACCACCUGUUAAGUCACCACCUCCUCCAUACUACUACAGCUCUCCACCACCACCAGUGAAGUCUCCCCCUCCACCAUACUACUACUCCUCGCCGCCGCCGCCGCCACCAAAGAAAUCACCUCCCCCACCAUAUCACUAUACUUCUCCACCACCACCUGUUAAGUCACCACCUCCUCCAUACUACUACAGCUCUCCACCACCAACAUCGCCAUCCCCUCCACCUCCAUACUACUACAAGUCCCCUCCUCCACCAUCUCCAUCACCACCUCCACCCUACUACUACAAGUCUCCUCCUCCUCCUUCGCCUUAUCCCCCUCCCCCAUACUAUUACAAGUCACCACCACCUCCAUCGCCAUCUCCUCCACCACCCUACUACUACAAGUCACCACCGCCACCAUCCCCAUCACCACCUCCACCCUACUACUACAAGUCUCCUCCUCCUCCUUCGCCUUAUCCCCCUCCCCCAUACUAUUACAAGUCACCACCACCUCCAUCGCCAUCUCCUCCACCACCCUACUACUACAAGUCCCCUCCUCCACCAUCUCCAUCACCACCUCCACCCUACUACUACAAGUCGCCUCCUCCACCGUCACCUUCUCCACCACCUCCCUACUAUUACCACUCUCCACCUCCACCAGUAAAGUCUCAUCCUCCUCCUUAUUACUACAGCUCACCACCACCACCAGUGAAAUCACCUCCUCCACCCGUAUAUAUUUACGCUUCCCCACCACCUCCAGUCCACUACUAAGAGUUUCCAGCAGUUCAGCCAUUCUCCACGCUCAAUCAAGUGAGUAGUUGUUUAAAUUAGUAAAAAAAAUUUCAUAUGAGAUCAACUUUUUUUAGCACGGCUCUAAUCUUCUAUCUGAUUGUUUCUUUUUAGAUUUUAGUUGGAAACACAAAAUAAAUGAUGGCUUCUUGAGGAAAAGAUUCAAACGUCAAUGGAACAAAGCAAUUAAUUUAUGGAAUAAGACAUUCAAUUUUUCAAUUGAAGGAUUGAUUCUUAGUUACAUGGACCAGUUUGGUUCUACUUCUCUUUUAGCCUUCUUGCACAUUGUUCUCUUAGUGCGUUCACACAUGAACGUAUCUAAGCUUUGAUGCUUCUUAGAAUUCAUUUCUUCGUAAUUUAUUGUUUUAUAUUGAGGACACUGUCCUCAUUUUAUUCAUUCCUAUUAAUUAUUGUAUGUUGUUCUUUUGUAAUUCCUUCAUGUACUUUGUGCACAAAUCAAUAAAAAGAUCAAUUUCAGUACAUUCACUCUCUUUUCUUUCUUCUAUAUCUUUCCCCUCACAAAUGUUACAAACAACUUAAAUUAAUCUUCUCCAAAUAUAUCUAAGCAAAUUGGAGAUGAAAAUACCUACAAUUAUUUUAAAAUAUUUAAUAGUUUAAUGUAGAAGUAGUUCAUGACAUGACUAUAAGUAAAACACCUAAAAAAGCACCUCUGUGUUACCAAAAUGAACUGGGUACCUCUUACCAAAAUUAUAAAGAUGACAAUACAAAAAUGGAAGAAAAGCCAGUUUCCUUUUCUUUUUUUUUUGGUUGCAACAGAAAUUCUAACUGUUGCCUCCACAUGCAGUUGAUCUCAUCAUUGAGCAUUCACACGAAUUUCUAAGAUUAUUACAAUGAAGAGAUCAAAAAGGCUAUAAUAUGAUGCUUUGAAUAGUAAGCAAAAAUGAAUGAAAAUAUCAAAAUACUUUUGAAUAACUUAUUUCAUGAACUGACGCUUCUGAAAUAAAUAAUAAAACAUUUCCGAAUAACGAAAAUUUGUGAAACUUAUUUUUAAAUUACAUAAAUACACUCGGUAUGUUGUUUACACUGGCCUCCCCAUACCACUUAUCGGAUUACACCGGGUAUGUUGUUCUUGCAGUUGUAAAUGCGGAUUUGGUGAAACAAUUCAAUGUCAAAAAAAAAAGAAAAAAGAACAACAUUUCUAGUUGGCAACAAAUAAUUUGAAGCAAUCAAUAUACAUAUUUGUAAUUUAUAAACCAUGUAUCCAUCAGACCAUCACAGUAAAAAAGGUUAUUUUAAGUUAUCAAGGUUCUUGCGACCAACUAGUGAUCCAAAAAGAAAAUAAAUCACCUAUUCACUAACAAAUUGAAGAUUUUCACCAUGCUUGUGAUCAGUUGGUACAAGAGUAUCAUACUUAGGUUUCGAAUAUGUUGAGCAUGUCACAUGGCGCAUUUGGUAAAAGUUGGUAAAAGAUUCAGACAAUGCCACAGUAACGCACCUUAGCAUUUACCAGUAAUAAACUCUAUCAACAUCAGCGUUGUUUUAUACCAGCUAGCUUGAGUCCGCGUCAGAGAAUACACAUAUCCUGUCUCCUCUACAACAGGAAAGUAAAACAGGGGAAGAGAUAUUAAUUAAUUUGGCUAAAUAAGUCAAAGUUGCUGCAAUUAUUUGUAAAUGUAGGACACCACAUAAUUUAAUAUCAUAGAAUAUAUGCACUAGCCUUUUUCUAGAAAUUUCCAUGUCUUACAAGUUUUGUAAGGUGAUACAGAGAUAUGCUUAUCAGCCCACACCCUGGCAAUUGAAAACAAAAUGGCAAGAGAGUGGAAGUAUUAAAAAAUAGCACUUUCUUUCCUUUAAGCCAUUACAUGGCAUGUGUUUUUGUGCGCUUCAUACGUUGUGUUCCCAUAUACAGCAAGAAACAGACUACUAGUUGUUAUAAAGAUAAAGUUGGAAAACUGGAAAUAUUCAAAGUGAUACAAAGGGAGACUUUUAAUAAAUAAGCUGUAAAACUUGUAGAUCCAGCUGUUAAGAGUUGUUUAAUUUACACUUUGAUUGUUAAUUAGAGCAAUUGAAUUGGUCAUUUAGACAGCUCUUUACUAACAACUAGUUUUCAAGGUGUGUUACUAUAAAUACAUAGGCCAAUGAAUCCUCUAAAGGCAUCACUUCUCAACUGAAAAAACUAAACUUGUCUUCUUUCUUCUUCCCUUGACUAGCCACAUUUGGGAGGCUAGGUGGCGUAUUUUCCGGAAAAAUGAGGCUUCACGGUGGCGGCCCUGCCAAGGGUCAUCGACAUUUGCCACAAAUCUUAGUGGCAUUGGCCAUAUUGGCUGUUGCUAAUGUAGUGUCAGCAGACCCUUAUGUGUACUCUUCUCCACCACCUCCAACGUAUAAGUCACCACCACCUCCUUCGCCUUCUCCACCGCCACCUUAUGUGCACAAAUCUCCACCUCCUCCAUCACCUUCUCCCCCGCCUCCAUAUGUUUAUAAGUCACCACCUCCUCCUUCUCCAUCUCCACCACCACCUUAUGUGUAUAAGUCUCCCCCACCACCAUCACCAUCUCCACCUCCACCAUAUUACUACAAGUCCCCUCCUCCACCAUCACCUUCACCACCACCACCAUAUUACUACAAGUCGCCACCUUCACCAUCAUCUCCACCACCAUACUAUUACAAAUCUCCACCCCCGCCCUCACCAUCACCACCCCCGCCAUACAAUUAUAAGUCUCCGCCACCACCUUCUCUUUCACCUCCUCCACUAUACUACUACAAAUCUCCACCACCUCCUUCACCAUCUCCUCCUCCACCUUAUUACUACAAGUCUCCACCUCCUCCAUCUCCAUCACCACCUCCACCUUACUACUACAAGUCUCCACCACCACCGGUUAAGUCACCUCCUCCCCCAUACUAUAACAGCUCUCCACCACCACCAGUGAAGUCUCCCCCUCCACCAUACUACUACUCCUCGCCACCACCACCAAAGAAAUCACCUCCCCCACCAUAUCACUAUACUUCUCCACCACCACCUGUUAAGUCACCGCCUCCUCCAUACUAUUACAGCUCCCCACCACCACCAAAGAAAUCACCUCCUCCGCCAUAUUACUACAGUUCCCCACCAUCACCAGUGAAGUCACCUCCAACUCCAUACUACUACAAGUCUCCACCACCACCACCAAAGAAAUCUACUCCCCCACCAUACUACUACACUUCACCACCACCACCAACUCAUUACUAUCCUCCACAUCAUCAAUUCGUGGUCAAAGUUGUCGGAAAAGUCUAUUGUUUUAGAUGCUACGACUGGAAGCACCUAGAAAUGUCUCAUGGCAAGAAACACCUGAAAGGUAUCACAAUAUAAUUUAUACAACACUCGCAUUCUUUAUUUUCCUUUAAAAUAUCAUCAAAAAUAUAUUUAACUAUAUAUUAUCUUUUUUGUUGCUUUGCUCCUUACGCUCUUAAAAGAAUUCAUAAAUGUGUAUCUUUAUUUGGAUCUUUGAUCCAUUUAUGUUUUUCCAAAUCUGAAGUAACAUUAAAAUUUAAAAAGUCAAGAAAUUUUUUAAGGCAAGGACCAUAUCUAUAAUUGUGACUAUAGAGUAAAACAUAUUGAAAAAGAAGGUAUUCUGUUCUUGCUUGCAAAUGAAGAAUUAAUAUCGAGUGUAAUUCAUUCUCACAUUGGCAGACAAAAGUCUGUACACAUUGGCACACAAGUUGCCAUUAACAUGCAGUUUAUUUCCCUUAUUAGAUUACAAAAUAUUUUUUAUAGUGUGAUGAGAAGGUUUGUUUUAUUUCAUAUUAUGAGGUGAAAAGUGCUCGGAUCUAAAUGAUCAUCAUUAGUAUUGGAGUUAAUUAAUGUUUUCUUUUAUGGAUUAGGUGCGGUUGUUGAAGUGACUUGCAAGGCUGGUGACAAGAAAAUUGUGAGUUAUGGUACCACUAAGAUCAAUGGAAAAUUUAGCGUCACAGUAGAAGGAUUUGAAUAUCGCAAAUAUGGAGCAAAGGCUUGCAAGGCUAAACUCCACAAUGCUCCAAAGGACUCAAAGUGCAACAUUCCUACAAACCUUCAUUGGGGAAUAAAGGGUGCUAACCUCAAAGUGAAAUCAAAGAAUAGUUAUGAAGUUGUACUUUAUGCAAAACCAUUUGCUUAUGGAUCUAAAACACCUUAUGCAGAAUGCCAAAAGCCCAAGCCUACACCUGCUCCAUACUAUUAUAAAUCUCCUCCACCUCCAUCACCGACUUAUGUGUACAAGUCACCACCUCCUCCAUCACCAAAGUAUGUGUAUAAUUCACCACCUCCCCCAACCCCGACAUAUGUUUAUAAGUCUCCACCACCACCUGCCUACUAUUACAAAUCACCACCACCACCAACUAAGUCUCCACCUCCACCAUCACCAAAACCUGCACCAGUAUACUAUUAUAAAUCACCACCACCCCCAUCACCGUCACCACCCCCACCUUACUACUACAAGUCCCCGCCACCACCAUCACCGAAACCUGCACCUGUUUACUAUUUUAAAUCACCACCACCCCCAUCACCGUCACCACCCCCACCUUACUACUACAAGUCCCCGCCACCACCAUCACCGAAACCUGCACCUGUUUACUAUUUUAAAUCACCACCACCCCCAUCACCGUCACCACCCCCACCUUACUACUACAGGUCCCCACCACCACUAUCACCAUCUCCUCCACCUCCAUACUACUACAAGUCCCCUCCUCCUCCAUCGCCAUCUCCCCCUCCACCAUACUAUUACAAGUCACCACCGCCACCAUCCCCAUCACCUCCACCACCCUACUAUUACAAGUCUCCUUCUCCUCCAUCGCCUUCUCCCCUUCCCCCAUACUACUACAAGUCCCCUCCUCCACCAUCCCCAUCACCACCUCCACCCUACUACUACAAGUCUCCUCCUCCUCCAUCGCCUUCUCCCCUUCCCCCAUACUACUACAAGUCCCCUCCUCCACCAUCCCCAUCACCACCUCCACCCUACUACUAUAAGUCGCCUCCUCCACCAUCACCUUCUCCACCACCUCCCUACUACUACCACUCUCCACCUCCACCAGUAAAGUCUCCUCCUCCUCCUUAUUACUACAGCUCACCACCACCACCAGUGAAAUCACCUCCUCCACCCGUAUAUAUUUAUGCUUCCCCACCUCCUCCAGUCCACUACUAAGAGUUUCCAGCAGUUCAGCCAUUCUCCGCGCUCAAUCAAGUGAGUAGUUGUUUAAAUUAGUAAAAAAAAUUUCAUAUGAGAUCAACUUUUUUUCAUUACAGCUCUAAUCUUCUAUUUGAUUGUUUCUUUUCAGAUUUUAGUUGGAAACACAAAUUAAAUGAUGGCUUCUUGAGGAAAAGAUUCAAACAUCAAUGGAACAAAGCAAUUAACUUAUGGAAUAAGACAUUCAAUUUUUCAAUUGAAGGAUUGAUUUUUAGUUACAUGGACCAGUUUGGUUCUACUUCUCUUUUAGCCUUCUUGCACAUUGUUCUCUUAGUGCGUUCACACAUGAACGUAUCUAAGCUUUGAUGCUUUUUAGAGUUCAUUUCUUCGUAAUUUAUUGUUUUAUAUUGAGGACCACUGUCCUCAUUUUAUUCAUUCCUAUUAAUUAUUGUAUGUUGUUCUUUUGUAAUACCUUCAUGUACUUUGUGCACAAAUCAAUAAAAAGAUCAAUUUCAUUACAUUCACUUUCUUUUCUUUCUUCUGCAUCUUUCCCCUCUUCACAAAUGUUACAAACAAAUUAAAUUAAUCUUCUCCAAAUAUAUCUAAGCAAAUUGGAGAUGAAAAUACCUACAAUUAUUUUAAGAUAUUUAAUAGUUUAAUGUAGAAGUAGUUCAUGACAUAACUAUAAGUAAAACACCUAAAAAACACCUCUGUGUUACCACAAUGAACUAGUUACUUCUUACCAAAAUGGAAGAAAAGCCAUUUUCCUUUUUCUUGUUUUAGUGUGGCAACAGAAAUUUUAACUGUUGCCUCCACAUGCAGUUGAUCUCAUCAUUGAGCAUUCACACGAAUUUCUAAAGAUUAUUAUAAUGAAGAGAUUAAGAAGGCUAUAAUAUGAUGCUUUGAAUAGUAACCAAAAAUGAAUGAAAAUAUCAAAAUACUUUUGAAUAACUUAUUUCAUGAACUGAUGCUUCUGAAAUAAAUAAUAAAACAUUUCAGAAUAAAGAAAAUUUGUCAAACUUAUUUUUCAAUAACAUAAAUACUCUUGGUAUGUUGUUUACACUGGCCUCCCAUACCACUUGUCAGAUUACACUUAGUAUGUUGUUCUUGUUGUUGUAAACUCGGAUUUGGUGAAACAAUUCAAUGUCAAAAAAAAAAAAACAUCAUUUCAGUUGGCAACAUAUAAUUUAAAGCAAUCAAUAUACAUAUUUGUAAUUUAUAAACCAUGUGUCCAUCAGACCAUCUCAGUAAAAAAGGUUUUUUUAAGUUAUCAAGGUUAUUGCGACCAACUAGUGAUCCAAAAGAAAAUAAAUCAUCUAUUCGCUAACAAAUUGAAGAUUUUCACCAUGCUUGAGAUCAGUUGGUACAAGAGUAUCACACUUAGGUUUCGAAUAUGUUGAGCAUUUCACAUAGCGCAUUUGGUAAUAGUUGGUACAAGAUUCAGGCAAUGCCACACCUUAGCAUUUACCAGUAAUAAACUCUAUCAAUGCCAGCGUUGUUUUAUACCAGCUAGCUUGAGUCCGCGUCAGAGAAUAUACAUAUCCUGUCUCCUCUACAGAUCAGCAGGAAAGUAAAACAGGGGAAAAGAUAUUAAUUAAUUUGGCUAAAUAAGUCAAAGUUGCUGCAAUUAUUUGUAAAUGCAGGACACCACAUGAUUUAAUAUCAUAGAAUAUAUGCACUAGCUUUUUUCUAGAAAUUUUCAAACUUAUAAGUUUUUAAAGGUGAUAUAGAGAUAUGCUUAUCAGCCCACACCCUGGCAAUUGAAAACAAAAUGGCAAGAGAGUGGAAGUAUUAAAGAAUAGCACUUUCUUUCCUUUAAGCCAUUACAUGGCAUGUGUUUUUGUGUGCUUCAUAUGGUGUGUUCCCAUAUACAGCAAGUAACAAACUACUUAUUGAAAAGAAAAUGUAGAAAUAUACAAAGUGAUACAGAGAUGGACUUUAAUAAAUAAGAUGACAACUUGUAGAUCCAGCUGGUAAGAACUAUUAAUAUUCUUUUUGCACUUUGAUUAUCAAUUAGAGCAAUUGAAUUGGUCCUUUAGACAGCUCUUUACUAACAACUACUUCUAAAGGUGUGUUACUAUAAAUGCAUAGGCCAAUGAAUCCCCAAAGUGCAUCAGUUCUCAACAGUAAAAACUAAAAGUUGUCUCUUUUACUCUUCAGUUAACUAGCCACAUUUGGAGGCUAGGUGGUAUAAUUAUCCGGCGAAAUGAGAAUUCAAGGUGGCGGCCCUGCCAAGGGUCGUCAAUAUUUGUCACAAAUUUUAGUGGCAUUGGCCAUUUUGGCUGUUGCUAAUAUAGUAUCGGCAGAUCCUUAUGUAUACUCUUCGCCUCCACCUCCACCGUAUGUGUACAAGUCACCACCACCUCCUUCUCCUUCUCCACCACCACCUUAUGUGUACAAAUCUCCACCUCCUCCAUCACCUUCUCCCCCGCCUCCAUAUGUUUAUAAGUCACCUCCUCCUCCUUCUCCACCUCCACCUCCACCAUAUGUGUAUAAGUCUCCACCGCCUCCAUCGCCAUCUCCACCUCCACCAUAUUACUACAAGUCCCCUCCUCCACCAUCACCUUCACCACCACCACCAUAUUACUACAAGUCUCCACCUCCACCUUCACCAUCACCUCCACCACCAUAUUAUUACAAAUCUCCACCACCGCCCUCACCAUCACCACCACCACCAUACUAUUAUAAGUCUCCACCGACACCUUCUCCUUCACCUCCUCCACCAUACUCCUAUAAAUCUCCACCACCUCCUUCACCAUCUCCUCCGCCACCUUAUUACUACAAGUCUCCACCUCCUCCAUCUCCAUCACCACCACCACCAUAUUAUUACAAGUCUCCUCCUCCACCAUCCCCAUCACUACCCCCACCUUACUUCUACAAGUCUCCACCUCCACCGGCUAAGUCACCUCCUCCCCCAUACUACUACAGUUCUCCACCACCAGCAGUGAAGUCUCCCCCUCCACCAUAUUACUACUACUCACCACCACCACCAAAGAAAUCACCUCCCCCACCAUAUCACUAUACUUCUCCACCACCACCUGUUAAGUCACCGCCUCCUCCAUACUAUUACAGCUCCC